UGGGGAAUAUUGCACAAUGGGGGAAACCCUGAUGCAGCGACGCCGCGUGAGCGAAGAAGGCUUUCGAGUCGUAAAGCUCUGUCCUAUGAGAAGAUAAUGACGGUAUCAUAGGAGGAAGCCCUGGCUAAAUACGUGCCAGCAGCCGCGGUAAUACGUAUGUGGCGAGCGUUGUCCGGAAUUAUUGGGCGUAAAGGGUACGUAGGCGGUUUUUUAAGUCAGGUGUCAAAGCGUGGAGCUUAACUCCAUUAAGCACUUGAAACUGAAAGACUUGAGUGAAGGAGAGGAAAGUGGAAUUCCUAGUGUAGCGGUGAAAUGCGUAGAUAUUAGGAGGAAUACCGGUGGCGAAGGCGACUUUCUGGACUUUUACUGACGCUCAGGUACGAAAGCGUGGGGAGCAAACAGG
rnacentral:rRNA from 1 species